rnacentral:rRNA from 1 species
UGAGGAAUAUUGGUCAAUGGGGGCAACCCUGAACCAGCCAAGUCGCGUGAAGGAUGAAGGUCUUAUGGAUUGUAAACUUCUUUUACACGGGAAUAAAGUGGGGGACGUGUCCCCCUUUGCAUGUACCGUGUGAAUAAGGAUCGGCUAACUCCGUGCCAGCAGCCGCGGUAAUACGGAGGAUCCGAGCGUUAUCCGGAUUUAUUGGGUUUAAAGGGUGCGCAGGCGGGAUGUUAAGUCGGCGGUGAAAUUUUGCAGCUCAACUGUAAAAGUGCCUUCGAUACUGGCCUCCUUGAGUGUGGAUGAAGUAGUCGGAAUUUGUGGUGUAGCGGUGAAAUGCUUAGAUAUCACGAGGAACUCCGAUUGCGCAGGCAGCUUACUAAGCCACAACUGACGCUCAUGCACGAAGGCGUGGGGAUCAAACA